rnacentral:rRNA from 1 species
ACGAGGGGUGCAAGCGUUGUUCGGAAUCACUGGGCGUAAAGGGAGCGUAGGCGGAGAAGCAAGCCGGGUGUCUAAUGCUGGGGCCCAACCCCAGCGCCGCACCCGGAACUGCUUCCCUUGGAUGGGCAAGGGGCAGGCGGAAUUCCUGGUGUAGCGGUGGAAUGCGUAGAUAUCAGGAGGAACACCGAGGGCGAAGGCAGCCUGCUGGGGCCACAUCGACGCUGAGGCUCGAAAGCGUGGGUAGCGAACAG